rnacentral:lncRNA from 1 species
CACGAGCAUGGAUAGCAUAGGUCCUUGUAGAUGCUUUAACAUCUGGUCUCAUUGCUGAACCUCUAGAUGCACCUCUACCUGCCCUUAUUCUCGAACUUCUCUGUGGUCUACCUCUAACAGGGGCAUUGCUUGAUCUUACACUCGAUAUUACUUCUCUUUUAACCAUCUCAGGACACUCCCGAAUGAAAUGAUCCGAUGCACCACAUCAGAAACAACCAGCCUUAAUUGCUCGAUAUUGACUUGGAUGAUGUCGACCACAUUAAGGACUCUUGGGUCUAUCAGGC